CAUUUGCGUUAGGGAUAGGAGUGAAAAGCCCACAGCCUGAAAUCAUCAGGCGAGGACUUGAAGCGUAUAGCCCGACCCGAA
rnacentral:sRNA from 1 species